UACGUAGGGUGCAAGCGUUGUCCGGAAUUAUUGGGCGUAAAGAGCUCGUAGGCGGUUUGUCGCGUCUGGUGUGAAAACUCAAGGCUCAACCUUGAGCUUGCAUCGGGUACGGGCAGACUAGAGUGUGGUAGGGGUGACUGGAAUUCCUGGUGUAGCGGUGGAAUGCGCAGAUAUCAGGAGGAAUACCGAUGGCGAAGGCAGGUCACUGGGCCACUACUGACGCUGAGGAGCGAAAGCAUGGGGAGCGAACAGG
rnacentral:rRNA from 1 species